rnacentral:rRNA from 1 species
GAUGAACGCUGGCGGCGUGCUUAACACAUGCAAGUCGAACGGGAUCCAAGGAGCGUUGUUCGUUUUUUGGUGGGAGUGGCGAACGGGUGAGUAACACGUGAGUAACCUGUCCUUUUCUUUGGGAUAAGCUCCUGAAAGGGUGUUUAAUACCUUAUGUUCUGUCUGCCUCUCAUGGGGGGGGUGGGAAAGAUGUUUUCGGUGAAGGGUGGGCUCGCGGUCUAUCAGCUUGUUGGUGGGGUGAUGGCUUACCAAGGCUUUGACGGGUAGCCGGCCUGAGAGGGUGGUGGGUGAGAUUGGGACUGAGAUGCGGCUCAGACUCCUGCGGGAGGCAGCAGUGGGGGAUAUUGCACAAUGGGCGCAAGACUGAUGCAGCGACGCCGCGUGGGGGAUGAAGGCCGUCGGGUUGUAAACUUCUUUUGCUCUGAACAAGGCGCAUCUGUGGGGUGUGUUGCGUGUAGGGGUUGAUUAGCGCCGGCUAACUACGUG